rnacentral:rRNA from 1 species
UGGGGAAUUUUGGACAAUGGGCGAAAGCCUGAUCCAGCAAUGCCGCGUGUGUGAAGAAGGCCUUCGGGUUGUAAAGCACUUUUGUCCGGAAAGAAAUCCUUGGCUCUAAUACAGUCGGGGGAUGACGGUACCGGAAGAAUAAGCACCGGCUAACUACGUGCCAGCAGCCGCGGUAAUACGUAGGGUGCAAGCGUUAAUCGGAAUUACUGGGCGUAAAGCGUGCGCAGGCGGUUUGCUAAGACCGAUGUGAAAUCCCCGGGCUCAACCUGGGAACUGCAUUGGUGACUGGCAGGCUAGAGUAUGGCAGAGGGGGGUAGAAUUCCACGUGUAGCAGUGAAAUGCGUAGAGAUGUGGAGGAAUACCGAUGGCGAAGGCAGCCCCCUGGGCCAAUACUGACGCUCAUGCACGAAAGCGUGGGGAGCAAACAGGAUUAGAUACCCUGGUAGUCCACGCCCUAAACGAUGUCAACUAGUUGUUGGGGAUUCAUUUCCUUAGUAACGUAGCUAACGCGUGAAGUUGACCGCCUGGGGAGU